rnacentral:rRNA from 1 species
UACGAGGGGUCUAAGCGUUGUUCGGAAUCACUGGGCGUAAAGCGGGUGUAGGUGGCUAUGCAAGUUGGAUGUGAAAGCCCCGGGCUCAACCCGGGAAGUGCAUCCAAAACUACGUAGCUUGAGUGCGGGAGAGAAAGGCAGAAUUCCUGGUGUAGUGGUGAAAUACGUAGAUAUCAGGAGGAACUCCGGUGGCGAAGGCGGCCUUUUGGCCCAGCACUGACACUCAGACCCGAAAGCGU